rnacentral:rRNA from 1 species
AGCGAACGCUGGCGGCAGGCCUAACACAUGCAAGUCGAACGAACUCUUCGGAGUUAGUGGCGGACGGGUGAGUAACACGUGGGAACGUGCCUUUAGGUUCGGAAUAACUCAGGGAAACUUGUGCUAAUACCGAAUGUGCCCUUCGGGGGAAAGAUUUAUCGCCUUUCGAGCGGCCCGCGUCUGAUUAGCUAGUUGGUGAGGUAAAGGCUCACCAAGGCGACGAUCAGUAGCUGGUCUGAGAGGAUGAUCAGCCACAUUGGGACUGAGACACGGCCCAAACUCCUACGGGAGGCAGCAGUGGGGAAUCUUGCGAAAUGGGCGAAAGCCUGACGCAGCCAUGACGCGUGAAUGAUGAAGGUCUUAGGAUUGUAAAAUUCUUUCACCGGGGACGAUAAUGACGGUACCCGGAGAAGAAGCCCCGGCUAACUUCGUG